AGCAGCCGCGGUAAUUCCAGCUCCAAUAGCGUAUAUUAAAGUUGUUGCAGUUAAAAAGCUCGUAGUUGGAUUUCGGGAUUGGCGCAUCGGUCGUGCCUCACGGGGUAUGAACUGGUGCAGUCAAUUUCUCACCUUCUGGAGAACCGCGAUGUCCUUAAUUGGAUGCCGCGGGGAACCAGGACCUUUACUUUGAAAAAUUAGAGUGUUUAAAGCAGGCAUUUUUGCUUGAAUACAUUAGCAUGGAAUAAUAAAAUAGGACGGCAUGGUUCUAUUUUGUUGGUUUCUAGGACCACCGUAAUGAUUAAUAGGGAUAGUUGGGGGCAUUAGUAUUCAAUUGUCAGAGGUGAAAUUCUUGGAUUUAUUGAAGACUAACUACUGCGAAAGCAUUUGCCAAGGAUGUUUUCAUUAAUCAAGAACGAAAGUUAGGGGAUCGAAGACGAUCAGAUACCGUCGUAGUCUUAACCAUAAACUAUGCCGACUAGGAAUCAGACGAUGUUAAUUUUUAAUGACUCG
rnacentral:rRNA from 1 species